GCCGUUGUAGCUCAGGGGUAGAGCACUUCCUUGGUAAGGAAGAGGUCGUGAGUUCAAUUCUCAUCAACGGCUCAA
rnacentral:tRNA from 4 species